UGUUCGGAGAGUUUGAUCCUGGCUCAGGACGAACGCUGGCGGCGUGCUUAACACAUGCAAGUCGAACGAUGAAGCGGUGCUUGCACCGUGGAUUAGUGGCGAACGGGUGAGUAACACGUGAGUAACCUGCCCCCUUCUUUGGGAUAAGCAUUGGAAACGGUGUCUAAUACUGAAUAUUCACACAUGGGCGCAUGUUUGUGUGUGGAAAGUUUUUCGGUGGGGGAUGGGCUCGCGGCCUAUCAGCUUGUUGGUGGGGUGAUGGCCUACCAAGGCUUUGACGGGUAGCCGGCCUGAGAGGGUGACCGGUCACACUGGGACUGAGAUACGGCCCAGACUCCUACGGGAGGCAGCAGUGGGGAAUAUUGCACAAUGGGCGAAAGCCUGAUGCAGCGACGCCGCGUGAGGGAUGACGGCCUUCGGGUUGUAAACCUCUUUCAGUAAGGACGCAGGGGCAUCUUUGGGUGUUUUGACGGUACUUGCAGAAGAAGCGCCGGCUAACUACGUGCCAGCAGCCGCGGUAAUACGUAGGGCGCAAGCGUUGUCCGGAAUUAUUGGGCGUAAAGAGCUUGUAGGCGGUUUGUCGCGUCUGUCGUGAAAUCCAGCAGCUUAACUGUUGGCUUGCGGUGGGUACGGGCAGACUAGAGUGUGGUAGGGGAGACUGGAAUUCCUGGUGUAGCGGUGGAAUGCGCAGAUAUCAGGAGGAACACCGAUGGCGAAGGCAGGUCUCUGGGCCAUUACUGACGCUGAGAAGCGAAAGCGUGGGGAGCGAACAGGAUUAGAUACCCUGGUAGUCCACGCCGUAAACGUUGGGCACUAGGUGUGGGGGGCUUUUUGGUCUUCUGCGCCGUAGCUAACGCAUUAAGUGCCCCGCCUGGGGAGUACGGCCGCAAGGCUAAAACUCAAAGGAAUUGACGGGGGCCCGCACAAGCGGCGGAGCAUGCGGAUUAAUUCGAUGCAACGCGAAGAACCUUACCAAGGCUUGACAUGCACUGGAACACUGCAGAGAUGUGGUGGUCUUCGGACUGGUGUACAGGUGGUGCAUGGUUGUCGUCAGCUCGUGUCGUGAGAUGUUGGGUUAAGUCCCGCAACGAGCGCAACCCUUGUCUCGUGUUGCCAGCAC
rnacentral:ncRNA from 1 species